UCUGGACUGGACGUUUCACUGAGGCUUUUGUCAUUGGUUCUGAAAUGUUCAUUUUGGAAAAAAGAAAUUUUAGAAAAUAUUAAGGUUGACAUAUUUUUGCCUCUUAAAAACCUUUGAUUAAAAUAGGAUAUCGUUAUUUUUUUUAGACAGGAGAAACGACACAUGUCUUUUGGCUGAGGGGGGGCAGCACGUACUUGACUGGUGUCGUUGGCUGCUCGAUAGUCAACGUCAGAUAGAAAGUCGAAGCUUUUUCUUUGUUUCCAGUGGCACCGUAAGUGGGUGACACGAUAGUCAUGCGGCGUCGAAUUUGGCGCAUCGCCCAUGUGCCUUUCUUCUUCUGUUCACCGCUGUUUGGACGGACCUCCGGAUGAGCUGGAGAAGUUGGCGGCGAUGGCGAAUAGAUCGGCUCUUUAUUGGCUGCUCCAUUGUUGCCCUUAUCCGGAGACACUUCCCGUCUCGAAGCGGAUGCUUUAAAGACUUCACUCAAAUCUGCUACGCUUGCCGUGCUCUUCUUCUUGAUGCGCGUGAUGGAUUUACCAAUGUCCGUCUUGGUCGUGGUCCAAUUACGACGCAGUCGGCGCAUUUGCUCACCAGCUAAAUCAGCGAAUCGACCGAUUUUCACUUGACCCGACCGUAACGAUGGAUCUUCGCUCUCCUUGGAUCGUUCCGAACCUGAUCUCGAUCCAGGACGUUCUCUCGACGUAUCCGAUGUUGCAUCCUUUUUUAUUAACAUUUAAAUGAAUUAAAUAAUAUUUUUUU